GCGGGUGUAGUUCAAUGGCAGAAUACUAGCUUCCCAAGCUAGCUACGGCGGUUCGAUUCCGCUCACCCGCUCCA
rnacentral:tRNA from 1 species